rnacentral:rRNA from 1 species
AAAAAAUUUCCGGGGCUAAAACUUACUACCGAAGCUACGGCAUCAUUAUGAUGGGUAGGGGAGCUUUCUAUGCGGCUUGAAGCAUGACCGUAAGGACAUGUGGACUGCAUAGAAGUGAGAAUGUUGGCAUGAGUAGCGAGAUGUGGGUGAGAAUCCCACAGGCCGUAAACCCAAGGUUUCCAGGGGAAGGUUCGUCCGCCCUGGGUUAGUCAGGACCUAAGCCGAGGCCGAAAGGCGUAGGUGAUGGACAACAGGUUGAUAUUCCUGUACCACCAAUAACCGUUUGAGAAAUGGGAUGACACAGUAGGAUAAGCUAACCGCACUGUUGGUUAUGUGCGGGCAAGUACUGAGGCAGUUCCGAUAGGCAAAUCCGUUGGAAUAAUGCUGGGGUACGAUGCGGAGCGAAAUUUAGUAGCGAAGUAGCUGAUUUCACACUGUCGAGAAAAGUCUCUAUCGAGGUUAAAGGUGCCUGUACCGCAAACCGACACAGGUGGGUGAGGAGAGUAUCCUAAGGCCAGCGAGAGAACUGUUGUUAAGGAACUCGGCAAAAUGACCCCGUAACUUAGGGAGAAGGGGUGCCUUCGAAAGAAGGCCGCAGAGAAUAGGCCCAAGCGACUGUUUACCAAAAACAUAGGUUUCUGCUAAGUCGCAAGACGAUGUAUAGGAGCUGACGCCUGCCCGGUGCUGGAAGGUUAAGGGGAUCUGUUAGAGCAAUCGAAGCAGUGAACUUAAGCCCCAGUAAACGGCGGCCGUAACUAUAACGGUCCUAAGGUAGCGAAAUUCCUUGUCGGGUAAGUUCCGACCCGCACGAAAGGCGUAACGAUUUGGGCACUGUCUCAACAACAGACUCGGUGAAAUUGUAAUACCGGUGAAGAUGCCGGUUACCUGCGACAGGACGGAAAGACCCCAUGGAGCUUUACUGUAGCUUGACAUUGAGUCUCGGUGCUACAUGUACAGGAUAGGUGGGAGACUAUGAAGCAUGGACGUCAGUCUGUGUGGAGUCAUCCUUGGGAUACCACCCUUGUAGUACUGGGAUUCUAACCAGAGGCCAUGAAUCUGGUCUUGGGACACUGUCAGGUGGACAGUUUGACUGGGGCGGUCGCCUCCCAAAAAGUAACGGAGGCGCUCAAAGGUUCUCUCAGUACGGUCGGAAAUCGUACGAAGAGUGUAAAGGCAAAAGAGAGCUUGAUUGCAAGACAUACAGGUCGAGCAAGGACGAAAGUCGGACUUAGUGAUCCGGUGGUUCCGCAUGGAAGGGCCAUCGCUCAACGGAUAAAAGCUACCCUGGGGAUAACAGGCUGAUCUCCCCCAAGAGUCCACAUCGACGGGGAGGUUUGGCACCUCGAUGUCGGCUCAUCACAUCCUGGGGCUGUAGUAGGUCCCAAGGGUUGGGCUGUUCGCCCAUUAAAGUGGUACGCGAGCUGGGUUCAGAACGUCGUGAGACAGUUCGGUCCCUAUCCGUCGCAGGCGUAGGAAAUUUGAGGAGACCUGUCCUUAGUACGAGAGGACCGGGAUGGACGUACCGCUGGUGUACCAGUUGUUCUGCCAAGGGCAUGGCUGGGUAGCUAAGUACGGAAAGGAUAAGCGCUGAAAGCAUCUAAGCGCGAAGCCCGCUUCAAGAUAAGAUUUCCCACCGCAAGGUUAAGAUCCCAGGAAGACUACCUGGUUGAUAGGUCAGAGGUGUAAGUGCAGUAAUGUAUUUAGCUUACUGAUACUAAUAGAUCGAGGACUUGACC